UACGAAGGGGGCUAGCGUUGCUCGGAAUCACUGGGCGUAAAGCGCACGUAGGCGGAUUGUUAAGUCAGGGGUGAAAUCCUGGAGCUCAACUCCAGAACUGCCUUUGAUACUGGCGAUCUUGAGUUCGGGAGAGGUGAGUGGAACUGCGAGUGUAGAGGUGAAAUUCGUAGAUAUUCGCAGGAACACCAGUGGCGAAGGCGGCUCACUGGUCCGAUACUGACGCUGAGGUGCGAAAGCGUGGGGAGCAAACAGGG
rnacentral:rRNA from 1 species